UACGUAGGGGGCAAGCGUUGUCCGGAAUCAUUGGGCGUAAAGAGCGUGUAGGCGGCCUGAUAAGUCGGUUGUGAAAGUCAAGGGCUCAACCCUUGAAUGCCGGCCGAUACUGUCGGGCUAGAGUGCGGGAGAGGCGAGUGGAAUUCCUGGUGUAGCGGUGAAAUGCGCAGAUAUCAGGAGGAACACCAAUUGCGAAGGCAGCUCGCUGGAACGUAACUGACGCUGAGACGCGAAAGCGUGGGGAGCAAACAGG
rnacentral:rRNA from 1 species